CGCACCCUCGAGCCUUCCUCUUGUCUGUCGCACUCCUCUAUUUCCCACCGGAGCUUGCUCCACCGGGAAAAGAGGAGUGGCGAACGGGUGAGUAACACGUGGGUAACCUGCCCAUCAGAAGGGGAUAACACUUGGAAACAGGUGCUAAUACCGUAUAACAAUCGAAACCGCAUGGUUUCGUUUUGAAAGGCGCUUUACGGUGCCGCUGAUGGAUGGACCCGCGGUGCAUUAGCUAGUUGGUGAGGUAACGGCUCACCAAGGCCACGAUGCAUAGCCGACCUGAGAGGGUGAUCGGCCACAUUGGGACUGAGACACGGCCCAAACUCCUACGGGAGGCAGCAGUAGGGAAUCUUCGGCAAUGGACGAAAGUCUGACCGAGCAACGCCGCGUGAGUGAAGAAGGUUUUCGGAUCGUAAAACUCUGUUGUUAGAGAAGAACAAGGGUGAGAGUAACUGUUCACCCCUUGACGGUAUCUAACCAGAAAGCCACGGCUAACUACGUGCCAGCAGCCGCGGUAAUACGUAGGUGGCAAGCGUUGUCCGGAUUUAUUGGGCGUAAAGCGAGCGCAGGCGGUUUCUUAAGUCUGAUGUGAAAGCCCCCGGCUCAACCGGGGAGGGUCAUUGGAAACUGGGAGACUUGAGUGCAGAAGAGGAGAGUGGAAUUCCAUGUGUAGCGGUGAAAUGCGUAGAUAUAUGGAGGAACACCAGUGGCGAAAGGCGGCUCUCUGGUCUGUAACUGACGCUGAGCUCGAAAGCGUGGGGAGCAAACAGGAUUAGAUACCUGGUAGUCCACGCCGUAAACGAUGAGUGCUAAGUGUUGGAGGGUUUCCGCCCUUCAGUGCUGCAGCUAACGCAUUAAGCACUCCGCCUGGGGAGUACGACCGCAAGGUUGAAACUCAAAGGAAUUGACGGGGGCCCGCACAAGCGGUGGAGCAUGUGGUUUAAUUCGAAGCAACGCGAAGAACCUUACCAGGUCUUGACAUCCUUUGACCACUCUAGAGAUAGAGCUUCCCCUUCGGGGGCAAAGUGACAGGUGGUGCAUGGUUGUCGUCAGCUCGUGUCGUGAGAUGUUGGGUUAAGUCCCGCAACGAGCGCAACCCUUAUUGUUAGUUGCCAUCAUUUAGUUGGGCACUCUAGCAAGACUGCCGGUGACAAACCGGAGGAAGGUGGGGAUGACGUCAAAUCAUCAUGCCCCUUAUGACCUGGGCUACACACGUGCUACAAUGGGAAGUACAACGAGUCGCGAAGUCGCGAGGCUAAGCUAAUCUCUUAAAGCUUCUCUCAGUUCGGAUUGUAGGCUGCAACUCGCCUACAUGAAGCCGGAAUCGCUAGUAAUCGCGGAUCAGCACGCCGCGGUGAAUACGUUCCCGGGCCUUGUACACACCGCCCGUCACACCACGAGAGUUUGUAACACCCGAAGUCGGUGAGGUAACCUUUUUGGAGCCAGCCGCCUAAGGUGGGAUAGAUGAUGAGCGAGAAGACGAGUACACGCAGAUAGCC
rnacentral:rRNA from 1 species